CUGGCUCAGGAUGAACGCUGGCGGCGUGCUUAACACAUGCAAGUCGAACGGAGUAUAUUAAAGCUUGCUUUGUAUAUACUUAGUGGCGGACGGGUGAGUAACGCGUGGGCAACCUGCCUUAUACCGGGGGACAACAGCUGGAAACGGCUGCUAAUACCGCAUAAGCGCACGAAGAGGCAUCUCUUAGUGUGAAAAAACUCCGGUGGUAUAAGAUGGACCCGCGUCUGAUUAGCCAGUUGGCGGUGUAACGGACCACCAAAGCGACGAUCAGUAGCCGGCCUGAGAGGGCAAGCGGCCACAUUGGGACUGAGACACGGCCCAAACUCCUACGGGAGGCAGCAGUGGGGAAUAUUGCACAAUGGGGGAAACCCUGAUGCAAGCGACGCCGCGUGAGUGAAGAAGUAUUUCGGUAUGUAAAGCUCUAUCAGCAGGAAAGAAAAUGACGGUACCUGACUAAGAAGCCCCGGCUAACUACGUGCCAGCCGCUGC
rnacentral:rRNA from 1 species